rnacentral:sRNA from 1 species
AUGUUCUAAAUCUCGAGGACCAAGAAGAGAUGAAGCUGGCCACUGCGUAAGGCCAUGGGGCUGGCUUUACAUUGGGCCAAUGAAUUUACACACCGCAAUUUUGAAUAAUGGAAAAAAGAGCAAAAACUUAUUCCAUAAUGUGUGCGUUUGUAGAAUUAAAGUUUGACCAAAAGUGAUUCAUUUUCGCCGGUGUUUUGAUGAGCCGGUACACUGUAACUGUCAUGUUGAGAUGUUAAUCUUAAUUUCUUGUUUUGAUUUAGCCUGCUGAGAACAGGACUUCAUCAGGAUAUGAUGCGAGAGCUAUAUUCAUGAUAGAUACAUUGGUC